CUGCAAAGUGCCCGGGACUCCAGAGCACCGGUCCCGACUUACAGGGCGGCCCUGGUCCGCUGAUUCAUCUUCAUCUGGUCCUCUCAGCGUCUGCCACUCUUGCAGCUCCUCUCCCAGUUCCAGUUACUUCAGAGUCCUCUUUUCCUGGACCCAGUGAUUUCAGCCUUUUCUCAACCCACAAGCUUCAUUGCAAUGCCAGCGCUGCGCUUCCAGCUCCGCAGUUCCAGCUCCAGCUGCUCCUUGCACCGUCGGCCCCUGUUGCAGCUUCUCUCCCCGCCCCAGUGAUUUCAGACUCCCCUUUCCCCCCCAGUGAAUUCAGCUCUGGCUUGACCCACAAGCUUUAUUGCACUGCCAGCUCUUCUGUUUCUCUUCCCAAUCAAUGUCUUUGGAGCCAUANCACAUAACCCUUUUUCUCCUUCCCAUGACAUGAUCUUUUUUUAACUACUGCUCUGCAAUGACUUAGGUCCCUUCUGAACCCAUCAUUCUA
rnacentral:lncRNA from 12 species